rnacentral:lncRNA from 1 species
AGAAUGUUUAUUUACGUUUUGAAAUGUCAAGAUUGCCUGCAGGCAGCUCCGAAAAACUUUCAGUAGCAAACAAUAUUUCGAUUGCCACGAAAAUCCAUGGUCGAUUUUUUUGUAGCCACAUUAAUUUAAACUUUAAUUCAGCUUGCCACACUUGAAUUAAACUUCAAUUCGCAUAAUCAACGAACACGGAAUACUUAGAUUUGCGCAGUUUCGGAAAUUUAGAGGAACUCAAUUGGAGUAAUUGCUGAAGUGAGCUCAUCAUACCGCAUCAAUCAUGUCAGCACAGAAAACCAAAUUUGAAAAAGCAGACUCUAGGAACCUCCCGUUAAUACUGGAAGACACCAUUAUAAAGUUUUAUGCAACGAAUCCGAAUUUUUUGAGUUCUGAAUCCAAACAAGUUAAAAUGCAAAGAUCUGGAAGAAAAAGCUAUGGUGAUAUGGCGGUAGGAUUUGUGAAACUUCAACGGUUCGGUGAAAAAUGUAGGAUUGUAGCGAGUAUUACCCCGGAACACAAAAUAACUCAGCGCCCAUACGAUGUCUCAUUGACCAUAAAUGAAGCGAAUGGAUUGAUUGAAGAUUUCUCUUGCGAAUGUGAAGCAAACAUGGGUAAUGUUUAAUGUUCUUAAUUAAGUGAACUCUAUAAAGCGCAUUAAGGUGGUUAUCAAGCGAAGCCAUACCUCCAAUUUUCAACAGCAUACAUCCAAAGAACCAAACAGUGCGCUGAAA